AACGAACGCUGGCGGCAGGCCUCAAACAUGCAAGUCUAGGGGGUGUAGCAAUACAUCACCGGCGGACGGGUGCGUAACGCGUGGGAAUGUACCUAUUGGUUCGGAACAACUGAGGGAAACUUCAGCUAAUACCGAAUGUGCCCGUAAGGGAAAGAUUUAUCGCCAAUAGAUCAGCCCGCGUAGGAUUAGCUAGUUGGUGAGGUAAUGGCUCACCAAGGCUCCGAUCCUUAGCUGUUCUGAGAGGAAGAUCAGCCACACUGGGACUGAGACACGGCCCAGACUCCUACGGGAGGCAGCAGUGGGGAAUAUUGGACAAUGGGCGAAAGCCUGAUCCAGCAAUGCCGCGUGAGUGAUGAAGGCCUUAAGGUUGUAAAGCUCUUUCGCCUGC
rnacentral:rRNA from 1 species